AGAGUUUGAUCAUGGCUCAGGAUGAACGCUGGCGGUAUGCGUAACACAUGCAAGUCGAACGAAGUUUUUCGGAACUUAGUGGCGGACGGGUGAGUAACGCGUGAGAAUCUGCCUUAAGGAUUGGGACAACAGUGGGAAACCGCUGCUAAUACCAAAUAUGCCUUUUAGUGAAACGGGUAAAACCGCCUUAAGAUGAGCUCGCGUCUGAUUAGCUAGUUGGUGUGGUAAGAGCGCACCAAGGCAACGAUCAGUAGCUGGUCUGAGAGGACGACCAGCCACACUGGGACUGAGACACGGCCCAGACUCCUACGGGAGGCAGCAGUGGGGAAUUUUCCGCAAUGGGCGAAAGCCUGACGGAGCAAGACCGCGUGAGGGAGGAAGGCUCUUGGGUCGUAAACCUCUUUUGUCAGAGAAGAAUAAUGACGGUAUCUGAGGAAUAAGCAUCGGCUAACUCCGUGCCAGCAGCCGCGGUAAUACGGAGGAUGCAAGCGUUAUCCGGAAUGAUUGGGCGUAAAGGGUCUGUAGGUGGUUGUUCAAGUCUGCUGUUAAAGCGUCUGGCUUAACCAGAUAAAGGCGGUGGAAACUGAACGACUAGAGUGCGGUAGGGGUAGAGGGAAUUCCCAGUGUAGCGGUGAAAUGCGUAGAUCUUGGGAAGAACACCUGUGGCGAAAGCGCUCUACUGGACCGCGACUGACACUGAUGGACGAAAGCUAGGGGAGCGAAUGGGAUUAGAUACCCCCGUAGUCC
rnacentral:rRNA from 1 species